rnacentral:lncRNA from 1 species
UAAGCCUGAUGCAAUGAUUCAGUGCAAAGCCCUUUUGUGUUUUGAGGUUCUGCUCAUCAGAUAUCGGCUUUUCCCCGUAUUCUGCAGCAGCGGUGGCAGGUUUCCCAUUGGCACCGACAGGUCUUAAGAACCAAAAGGUGCAUAUUGCAAUUACCCAUCAGUAAUCUGGAUUGGACACGGAGGGAGCAAAAGGGUUCAGCAACCACUGGGAUUAAGAGAGAACAAGGAGACCAACUUCAGGGAAAACAGCAGCAACCAGACACGCUGUGAGCCAGCAGAAAACACAAGAGAAGAGGAACUGGUGUACACAAAUGAGGGUCAAGACUGCAGCCAAAAGGAGCAGCAGAGCAUCCCUCUGUUCUUGGAGUCAGACAAACAGCGAGGCAAGGAAGUGCAUCUGUAAUCAACAAUCCCCAGGCCGCACAAUUACAUCAUAAUUAGAAAAAUAAUC